AGAGGUUCUCGGGGGAUGCACCCUGGAACCAGAAAGGAGGGAGCCUGAUUCCAGGGUGUGUCACCCGAGAACCACC
rfam:Myotis davidii contig221656, whole genome shotgun sequence.